GAGGUCCCUGGUGCCUGCUGCGUGUGGCCUGUGACGCCAUCAGGAGGCGUCCGGAAGCGCCCGGGCCCGCGACCCCGCCCCCCCCAUCCCGCCAGGUCGCCGCGAGAGAAGGUGGCUGCCCCCCCCGCCCCUCCGUAUCGCCUCCCUCCGCGUCCCCCACCGCUCGCCCCCCGCCGUCCGGACUCGGGGCUCCGCGCGGCUCCGUCCGAGGCUCUGGCGCGAUGCUGCUGCCGGAGCCGCCGCCUGAGGAAACGGCCCCGAGCGGGCGGACGUGCGGGCUGCGGCGCCCGCGCUGCGCGUGAGAGCGCUCGGCCGCUCCGCCCUCCCCGCGCGCCGGCCGCCGCGUCACGGCCGCGUUGGUAACCGGGCGCCCAGGCACGGCCAUCGGGGCGAGCAGAGGCCACCCGCGGGCGGGCCGCGGUUGCACGAGGGGGCGCGGCUGUGCGCCAGCCUCAACUCGCUGCCUCCCUCUGCCCCGACUCGCUCCCGCCUCCUGGGCGGGGCCCGACUUAGCCUCCGCCCCCCCUUCCCUCCCUCCCCCUUCCCUUCCCUCCUUCCCUCCCUCCUUCCCUCCCCUUCCUCUCCUCCCUCCCUCUCCUUUCCUUCCCUCCUUCCCUCCCCCUUCCCUUCCCUCCCUCCCUCCCUCCUUUCCUUCCCUUCUGCUCUCCCUCCCUCCUCUUCCAUCCUUCCCUUCCCUCCUUCCCUCUCUCCUUCCUUCCUUCCCUCCCCCCUCCUUUCCUUCCCUUCUGCCCUCCCUCCCUCCUCUUCCAUCCUUCCCUUCCCUCCUUCCUUUGCUUCCCUCCCUCCCUCCCUCCCUCCUUCCCUCCUUUCCUCCUUCCGUCCCUCCCUCCUUUCCCUUCUCUCUAUUUCUGCCCAGCCUCUGUCCUGCUCCCUGCAUUCCAGCUUCACUGAGCUGCUGUGGUCCCUGAAAGACAUGGUCCCUCAUCAUUCCCCAUCUCCGAGGUCACCUGUCUGGGAUGCCCUUUCUCAUGCUCCCUCCUUCCUCCCUCUGUGCUGUGUCUUCUGAGACCGCCCUCAGAGGCCACCUCUCCGCAUCCCUCCCUGACCUGGAGGACAUGUGCAUCCCUUCUCUGUGGCCACAUCACCACACAAAGACAGGGUUCUCUGCCCGAUGCCCGUAAAAAGCCAAUGAUCACACCACCAGCUUUUUCGAGGUCGGCCAGCCAGGAGGCGGGAGUCAGAGCUCUCAGAGGAUACGGUGUGGACACUAGUUCAUACCUCCAGCUUCUCCUAGUACCGUGCCCAGGCUGGCAGACACAGUGGACACUUGCCGCCCAACUGACACGCUGAGGGUCGGAUGUGCCGCAUUUGCAGGUUACUGCCUGUUCCCUGUCAGAGGCAACAAAGCUGCUAGAGGUCGAGGAGGGCGUGGGUGUUGUGUAGACUGCGCUCGGGCUGCAGACGUGCGAGGACGGGCCCUGGGUGGUGCUGACAAACGAGGGGAACGAUUGAGUUCUGAGGGCUUUAUAAACACCCAGUAGAAGAUGUAUCGCCCCAGAUACGGUUUGUUUCUUAGUGAAAGUCAGCUCUAUGAAGGUGUAACUUCCGUACGAUAGAACACAGGCAUGUUAAGUGUGCGUCUGGUGAAUUUUGGAACAUGUCAGCACCUGGGUGGCCACGACCCCCAUUGAGAACUGGACUAUCUCGGCGUUAACCAGAUCUCCUGAAAUUCUCCAUCUGGCACAGGGUCCGCCUGCCCCACCUGCAGUGGGUCCUGUGCUUUGGGCUCUGGCCCCCGUGGGAGCAGCUGCAGUGGACGCUAGGGGGACACCAGGCUGGUCUUCAUCAGUCACAGAGACCACUCUCUGUCCAGAAGUAGGAGUGUGUGACACCUCUAUCCUCGUCACGCCUACGGCUGACCUCGACCGGUAACCACAGCCUGCGGUGCUCACAUUCCCAGGAGACAGCCCAGCAGUCCCGUCCCAGUUUGUCAGGAUUGCCCACCACGCACACGCUUCUCCUGUGUCUAGGUCCCAAUUCUGGCACAGGACGCACCACAGUGCUGCCACGUUCCUCCUCCUCUGGUCCCAGGCUUGGCACUGGCCACCCCACAGCAGCAUGUCUGUCAUGGUCUCCAGCUCAGCUGUGCUGGCUUGUGUUGUAUCACAGCUCUGCCCGAUCUUACAUACUUAUUCUAAAUCUCUCCUCCAAAUCAGGAGAGUACCUCGAAUAAGGAGGGGUCUCCAAUGGUUUGAGAGUCAGAGUUGCUUUGGAAACUAGAUGCAGGCCCCCCCGAGAGGCUCCAGUCCUGGAGUCCCCACAUGUCAUCCCGUGUUCAGAGAUGCGGGCACUACAGGCCUGAUGGGAGGGAGUGGCUGCCGUCCCUAGAUGUCCACCUGCGCUGCCCUCUCCCUGCUGGAGAGAGUGCCUUAGGGCAGAUGCUGUGACGAAGGUCAAAGUGACCUCUGCGUGUGAUGUCUGCCACUGGUGGCCCCAGUUGCGUAACUGCAAAGAGAACCCCAAGGAAGGGAGGGAGUCGCCCCAGGAUGAGGCGCCUGGUAGUUGCUCCUCUGGGUUGGCCCAUGGGCAAGGGACUCCCUGCGUGGUGGGUGUGGGGUUCCUGCCAAGUCACCGCCCAUAAGGCGUUAAUGAGGCGUUUGAGAUGAGGCCCCUAGUCUGGGGGUCUCCCCUUACUGGAGCCCCCUGAUCUGAAACUCCAAGGGGCCCUCCGGGGUCAGCUCCCUGUGGCCCCUUGUGUGGCACUCCAGGUGUCUCUGUGCACACUCGCCUCUGUGCUCUCCUGACCCCUGACCUCUGGACUGCGAAUGUGCAGGGAUGAACAUGGUGCGAGCCCAGAGCAUGGAGCAGCUGUGAAGGGACAGGCCUACAGGCCUGAUUCCCGAGCCUGGCAGGGCCGGCAGAGGAUCAAGAGCAGGCAGAGCCGAGCUGAGCCCUGACCCAGAAGGGAGAGGAGCGUCCCACUCCAGCAUGAGGGACCCCAUCCCCCCAGGGCGUGGCUGCUCCAGCCCUCCCUGCAGUUCAUUCUUUUAUCAGCAAAUGUCCCUGCAUGGGGCUUUGGGGAGAGCUGCUCUCUGGUUCCUGGGAGGUGCUCCCUCCGGGCACCCCUGGGUCCUGGCGUGGCCCCGAGAGGCUCAGAAUCACCCAGCAUUGUGGGGCUGGAGUCUGGAGCUCAGCCUCUCCCUCAGGCCUCCCUCAGGGGUCCUCUUGCCUCAGCUCACUUGAGAAGGCCAGUCCUUCCAGGUCUCCCAGGGCCUCCAGUGGUGUCAGAGCCUGACACUGGCCAGAAACCCCUCCCACGAAGAGACGCCAGGUGAGCGUCAACUCCAGCUACCCGGAACACCAGCCGGGCUCCAUCCUCUGCACCCUGUGAGUGGGGGUCUGCCUGGGGCUGCAGGCCCAGUGCGGGGCAGUGUCCGGCCUGAGAUGAGCAGACAGGAGGGCCACCCCGGCCCGCAGAGCAGCAGCUGUCUGCCCGCGCCUCGUUGCCUCUCGUGCAGGUGGCUUCACCCACACGUUGCACCGUGUGUACAGGGAGACAGUGGCGCUCUCCCGUGUGCACACACCACUCCUUCAGAAGCAGCACGUGCCCUUGAGCCUGACUCCGUCCCCAGGAGCCCGUGGAGGCACAGCAGGGCCUCUGGCCACCGCAGCAGGAGGAGCUGCAGCCUCUCUGUCAGCUGGUGGUGUCUCAGGGAAGCAGUGCAGAUGGGGUCUCUGGACCUGCUGGGGGCCUGGAGUGGUUUCUGAGCCCCAGGGAUGGUGAGAAGUGAGGUAGGAGGCCGGUGGAGGGAGGAACAGAGAUCCCAGGCUGGCAUUCGCAUCAGUGACCAGCCCUGCAGGCAGCUGUGGUCGAGGGCGCGCGUCUGACUGGAGCAGGUGCAGGGGUGAAGUUCUCUCAGGCAGACAAGCAUUCAGUCCCGUUUUCCCAGGUGUACUUAGCACGUCGGCACCUCUGCUAAUGGCAGCAGCUCCCUGCCCAGCCAGGGGACCCACCCGGAUGAUCCCCUCCCCCCUGGGCCCAGUGGGCAUCCUGCCGGAGAACUGGGGCCAGUAGGCUCCUGGGGUCCCCAGUGCCCCUGCCCAUCGGCCCAGAGAAAGGAGGGCUGGAGAGGGCGGGUUCCUGGCCUCUGCUGGCUGGGCCUGUUAGAAUUCAAGGGUGGGCCGUCUUCUGUGUUUCAGGCUCCAGGACACUCAGGGUCAUCAACUUUGUUAAAUUUCUAAUCAGAAAAGUUCUGACUCUAGCACGACGGUGUUUCCCUUUCAUACAGGAUCAUGAGCCUCCCAGGUGAUGGUGAAAAUUGUAAAAUUUUAUUUAAAAUACAUUUAUUCCUUCAUUAUGAAAGUAACAGAGAGAAGGAACACAUUUCUGAAGCCAACAUGGUCUGUUAGUUAAUUAAAAUUAUAAAGUUUAAAAUGGUGAAAGUGAUAAUAAAAAAUAAGGAAGCAGACAUACUUUGCAUAUAUUUUUAACUUAAAACUUAUAAAUAUGCAUUAAUUCUUAAUAAGUUCAUGAGAUUUACUUUUCAUACAAUGAAAUCUUCAGAUUCUGACUGUACGUGCUGAUAAGUUCUGAUAAAGGUGCACAAUCAAUGGAGAUGCAUCAAGUUUCCAUCACGCUAGAAAGGCCCCUCUCCCCUCUGGUCAAUAUCCCACCCGGGGCCGCCUCACACCCAGAGUGACCUCACAACCAGGGCCACUGCUCACCUAGGGCCACUGCACAACCAGAGCCACAGCACACCCGGGGCCACAGCACACCCAGAGUGACCUCACAACCAGGGCCACUGCUCACCCGGGGCCACCACACACCCAGGGCCACAGCACACCCGGGGCCACAGCACACCCAGAGUGACCUCACAACCAGGGCCACUGCUCACCUAGGGCCACCGCACACCCAAGGCCACCGCACACCCAGGGCCACAGCACACCCAGAGUGACCUCACAACCAGGGCCACUGCACACCUGGGGCCACUGCACACCCAGAGUGACCUCACAACCAGGGCCACUGCUCACCCAGGGCCACCGCACAACCAGGGCCACAGCACACCCAGAGUGACCUCACAACCAGGGCCACUGCUCACCUAGGGCCACCGCACAACCAGGGCCACAGCACACCCAGAAUGACCUCACAACCAGGGCCACUGCUCACCCGGGGCCACUGCACACCCAAGGCCACCGCAUACCUGGGGCCACCCUCUGCUUCCUCUGUCAUCGUUUGGGCAGCUCUGGCCUUGACUGUAUUUUCGUGUAGGGUGGAGACUAGUCAGCCGGUCAGGACUGGAGUCUUAUUUUCAUUUUUGGUAUAAACCACGUGCUUACUUCAUCCCCUAAGAUACCCACUUUUGGUACUUUUUUUUAAGUACCAGGACUGAGACUUGAAUAUGUUUGUAAAGUCACCUGAGACCAGAAAUCUUCCAAAUUUUCACAAGUUGCUUUUCGUAUUUUGAGGUAUCUUGUCUGCAGCUAAUUCAAAAGCAAUUUUUAAAGUGACUUCACUUGCCUUUGUCUUGAUUUCCCAAACUGUGUAUUGUAGAAACGACUUUCUCUCCUUUUACACGAUGCGUAGCUGGUUUAUGUAACGUUUGGUCAAGUUACGCGGUAGAGCAAGAGCAAGUGGCGUAGAUGGGUGGGCGCGACCUGACCGCGUGGUUGGUGUCACCCCCACUGACACCUGCGUCUUACCGGGCUGCUGAGCCCCGAGACCAGAGCCGCCUGAGCUGGUGGAGCAGAGGUUGGUGUGCGAUAGGUUCUCGCACACAAAUGAAUAACAACAGAUGGGAACACACACACUGGUCCUACACUCCGAGGCAUCUCUGCACAACGCCUGCCGUGUGGUUUCCCAGCCUCACGUGUGUGUGUGUGUGUGUGUGUGUGUGUGUGUGUACGGUUAGCCUUGCUGCAGGGCCCAAGGGAGCCGCCUGUGCCCCCAAAACUGCCUUCGCUCUGACAGUGACCACACGGAAUGAGGUUCUCUGCCCGGUGCACAUAAACAGCCACUAGUCGGGCAUCAGCCUUUGCGAAGAGACCAGCUUUAUUCUGCGAGGCCGACCUGCAGGGAGGCAGGGGGCCCUCAUCUGUCUCCCCAGAGCAGGAUUUGGGGUGAAAUUUAGGGGGUCUAGACAACAGUUAGGCACGCGCAAACUCUGGGGGGACGGGUUUCCAUUGCUGGGCUUCAAGCAUUUAUGACGGGGUUCUAACUGUUUACGACGGGGCUCUAGACAUUCUCUGUGAAUUUUAACACUGGAUCUUCCUGAACCAGGGCCCUCGCUUCUGAUGAGAGCCCGACCUUCAAACUCCGGUCGCAUUCUGUCCUUGGGUUCCGUGGGAAGGGGGAUCUUCGGUUCCACGGUCAUUUCAAGUCAAGAUUUCCUCUUCUGCGCGUGCUCUGGCCACGUGACUUGGCACGUUUCCUGUUUCCUGAAAGGCGAUUCUCAACCUCUCUGUUGAUAAGAGAUGGCUCAGUUGACCUGGUGCUGGCGGGCCUGCGGUUACACCGCCAGCCGCAGGCUCGGGAUCCCCAAGGCGGUGCUUGGUGUGACAGCUCUCUGGAAGGGCCUGGAGCUCGCUGAGAGCUGAACCACGCAUGGCCAUGGUUCGUCACAGGGAAGGGACACAGAUGAAAACCGGCUCAGGAGAGGCGCCCGGGCAGAGUCUGAGUCCCCAGAUGCGGAGCACCCCCCUUCUUCCCAGCUCACCCCACAGACACCUUCCUGGAACGGAACUUGGAUAGCGGCAUGUGGGUGUGGUUCCAGAUGCAGACUCUGAGAUGAGAUUUGUAUGAAGGACAUGCUCCCCGGAAACGUGGCUGGGAGUGGGGAGUGGACGGGGAUGGGGAGGAGGCGCAUGCAGGCCUGUGGAGGGACAAGGGCUCCAUCCCGUGGAGGAACUCCGGACUCUGCAGGUCAUGGCUCGCAGGUGUCCCCAUCUGGAGGUGAGUGGCUUUGAGUGUUUGUGCCCCUGCCUGGCAGUCACCUGUUAAGGGUUGUAAAUCGCGACAACCCCAGCCCUCAGGAGCUCAGGGAAGGGCCCUCCUGUGGCCGGAGGGCGGCCCUCUGUCAAAGAUCCCGAUGAUGCCCCAUGGGAGUGGGGUCCUAGAGCCCAGGGGUGUGAGAUGGCGGAUGGAGACCUGGACGCGCAUCUGUGGCCGUUAUCAUCAGAGACCCCGCAUCCAGAGGGGCUAAUGGUUUUCUCCUCAGACAAGUGAGGGCUCCUGGUGUGACUGUCCGACCUCACGUGCCAGUGGGGUCAGCACCCGGCCCAGAAGCAGCAGCUCAGCAGCCACCUGCCGUCACCCUCGCCCCGACUGUGGUCACAGUGUCCCCACACCUGGGCAGAGAUGGGGCAGUGUUUUCUCUCCUUCAGAUGCCGCCCAGGCCCAGGCUUUGCCCCAGAGCCUGGGGGCCGUGACAAGAUCACCACGGACUGCAGGACUGCCUGCUGUCUGCUCCAUCCCACACAGACUGUUCCCCCGUCCUCCCUCCUGUCUGGUUUGAGAUGCCAGCCUCCGUCAUCCUGACCCCCCAGUGGUCACAGCCCCGGCUUUGGGCAAAGAGCUUUUCGAGGCGGUGGUUCCACGUGGCCUCCCUGGAGAUGCCCUGAUGAGCCAUAGUCUCACUGUCUUCCUCAUAAUCUGCAGCCCGCUCAGAACAAAAUGAAAGGCCCCACUUUGCAUUUAUUCUCCUUUCUUCCCGGUCACCCCCCACUCCUGUUCCCCUGGAUUGCAGCCCGCACCCCACCCCUAGUAAUUGGUCCCGGCUCAGUUUUCCAAAGGACCCCCGGCCAGGGCACGAGGUGGCCUCACACAGCGUCCUGGC
ensembl:lncRNA